UACGGAGGAUGCAAGCGUUAUCCGGAAUGAUUGGGCGUAAAGCGUCCGCAGGUGGCUAUGUAAGUCUGCUGUUAAAGAGUGAGGCUCAACCUCAUAAGAGCAGUGGAAACUACAUGGCUAGAGUGUGUUCGGGGCAGAGGGAAUUCCUGGUGUAGCGGUGAAAUGCGUAGAGAUCAGGAAGAACACCGGUGGCGAAAGCGCUCUGCUAGGCCGCAACUGACACUCAUGGACGAAAGCUAGGGGAGCGAAUGGG
rnacentral:rRNA from 1 species